rnacentral:tRNA from 1 species
GGGCUUGUAGCUCAAAGGCAGAGCACACGCUUGAUAAGCGUGGGGUUGGUGGUUCGAGUCCACUCGAGCCCA